rnacentral:rRNA from 1 species
CCUACGGGGCGCAGCAGUGAGGAAUAUUGGUCAAUGGGCGAGAGCCUGAACCAGCCAAGUCGCGUGAGGGAUGACUGCCCUAUGGGUUGUAAACCUCUUUUGUAUGGGGGGAAUAAGCUUUACGAGUAGAGUGAUGACAGUACCAUACGAAUAAGCAUCGGCUAACUCCGUGCCAGCAGCCGCGGUAAUACGUAGGUGGCAAGCGUUAUCCGGAUUUAUUGGGUGUAAAGGGCGUGUAGGCGGGAGCGCAAGUCAGAUGUGAAAACUCAGGGCUCAACCCGUAGCCUGCAUUUGAAACUGAGUUU